UUUGUGUAUUUUGAAUAUUUUUAGUUUAAUUUAAUUUAUAUUAUGGAUAAAUUAAGAAACCUCACUACUAAAUGUGUUAAAAAAAUUUGUCCCAGAAGCGGUAGUGGUAGUAAAAAGUGAAUUACUAGCGGUAGAGGUAGUUCAAGUAGUAGAUAUACGCGUGUGUCUUCGCCUCCGGUACCGAUUGGUACACCUUUUGAGGAAGAAAUAGGUGUAGGUGCUCACGAUAUGGAUUAUGUAGAAGCUUGGGAAAAUUACGGUAUAGAAGAAGAAAAUGAAGUAGAUGCGGUUAAUUUAGACGAAGAUAAUGAAAAUAUUGCUGAGACACCCGCAGUAGGAAAUGCUAACGUUAGAUCUGAAUCAGUUAAUCUCCCUUCCCGUCCUCCCAGUGCCCCAAAACCUCGUAAAAGAACUAGUAUUGCAUGACAAUUUUUUGAACGUAUAUCAGAUAUUGAGGUGCAAUGCAAUAUUUGUCAACAAAUAUAUAAGCAUAGAAGUGGAGGCAAGCAAGGGGGUACGGGUACGUUAAUGAGACAUAUAGCUGAAGAUCACAAAAGAGAGUUAAAUAUUGCACAAGGUGGUGGGGAUGUUGGUGGGCCAACGCAAACUAGAAUNNN
rnacentral:lncRNA from 1 species